rnacentral:rRNA from 1 species
UACGUAGGGGGCAAGCGUUGUCCGGAAUCAUUGGGCGUAAAGCGCGUGUAGGCGGUCCGGUAAGUCGGCUGUGAAAGUCCAGGGCUCAACCCUGGGAUGCCGGUCGAUACUGCCGGACUAGAGUUCGGAAGAGGCGAGUGGAAUCCCGGUGUAGCGGUGAAAUGCGCAGAUAUCGGGAGGAACACCAAUGGCGAAGGCAGCUCGCUGGGACGUUACUGACGCUGAGACGCGAAAGCGUGGGGAGCAA